rnacentral:lncRNA from 1 species
CGACGGCUUGCGAUUUAUGAGAACGCAUCAAAAAUUAUAUCGCCGAUUGUCCGUAAUCGUCGCCGACCAUCGGCGAUGACAUCGCAGGAAACAAAAAAGUUUGUUUCUUGCGACCAUCGCCGACUGCCAUCUGCUUGAAAAAUCUAUGAGAAAUGAGUAAAAGUUGUUUUUUCCUCAACAAGCAAGGAAAUAAUCAACUGAAGUUUGACAGAAAUCAUGAAAUUUACGUUGAAUGGGGCAAUUUUGUGCCUUGGUGGGAAAUUUCGAAACACAUUGGCUGUCAUCUGCGACGAUCACCGAUGUAUGAGAACUUUCGUGCAUUCGCGCUCGGCGAGUAUCGGCG